rnacentral:lncRNA from 1 species
UGGAAAUUUUCGUUUUUAAUAGCAAAAAACUGGACAAGACUAUUGUUUUUAAUCCAGAUACGGUUCAGAAUUUUUGUUUAAGGCAAGAAUCAGAGUCAAUUUUUCUCUCUCAAAUAUCUAAGACUGUCUCCUCAAAUCAAAUGGUUCGUACCUGAGACUUGAAAUUCUUAUAGAGCUUAUACUAAAAUUGAGAAUGGAAAUGGGGAAUGUGUCAAAGAGACAACAACCCGACCACAAAAAAACAACAGCAGAAGGUCACGAACAGGUGUUCAAUGUAGCGAGAAAUUUCCGCACCUGGAGGCGUCCUUCAGCUGGUCCCUUUAACAAAUAUAGUUCAGUGAUAAUGAACGCCAUACUAAUUUCCAAAUUGUACACAAGAAACUAAAAAUAAAAUAAUACAAGACUUACAAAGUCUAGAG